UAUGCACGCUGGCGGCGUGCCUAAUACAUGCAAGUCGAGCGAACGGACGAGAAGCUUGCUUCUCUGAUGUUAGCGGCGGACGGGUGAGUAACACGUGGAUAACCUACCUAUAAGACUGGGAUAACUUCGGGAAACCGGAGCUAAUACCGGAUAAUAUUUUGAACCGCAUGGUUCAAAAGUGAAAGACGGUCUUGCUGUCACUUAUAGAUGGAUCCGCGCUGCAUUAGCUAGUUGGUAAGGUAACGGCUUACCAAGGCAACGAUGCAUAGCCGACCUGAGAGGGUGAUCGGCCACACUGGAACUGAGACACGGUCCAGACUCCUACGGGAGGCAGCAGUAGGGAAUCUUCCGCAAUGGGCGAAAGCCUGACGGAGCAACGCCGCGUGAGUGAUGAAGGUCUUCGGAUCGUAAAACUCUGUUAUUAGGGAAGAACAUAUGUGUAAGUAACUGUGCACAUCUUGACGGUACCUAAUCAGAAAGCCACGGCUAACUACGUG
rnacentral:rRNA from 1 species